rnacentral:rRNA from 1 species
AUUGAACGCUAGCGGGAUGCUUUACACAUGCAAGUCGAACGGCAGCGCGGACUUCGGUCUGGCGGCGAGUGGCGAACGGGUGAGUAAUGUAUCGGAACGUGCCCAGUAGCGGGGAAUAACUACGCGAAAGCGUAGCUAAUACCGCAUACGCCCUACGGGGGAAAGCAGGGGAUCGUAAGACCUUGCACUAUUGGAGCGGCCGAUAUCGGAUUAGCUAGUUGGUGAGGUAACGGCUCACCAAGGCGACGAUCCGUAGCUGGUUUGAGAGGACGACCAGCCACACUGGGACUGAGACACGGCCCAGACUCCUACGGGAGGCAGCAGUGGGGAAUUUUGGACAAUGGGGGCAACCCUGAUCCAGCCAUCCCGCGUGUGCGAUGAAGGCCUUCGGGUUGUAAAGCACUUUUGGCAGGAAAGAAACGUCGCGGGCUAAUACCCCGUGGAACUGACGGUACCUGCAGAAUAAGCACCGGCUAACUACGUG